AAGUUAUGCGUUCCCCGCCCGGGAGGGAAACCCCGAAAUCUGAGCAUGAGGCUGAGUCAGGAGGACCCGCAGCCCAAGCUCAUUCCCGUCCCCGCCCAAUUUCCUGGGCCCGGCACCUCCGCGGCGUCCCCUCCCCGGCCCCCUCACCCGGGCAGCCGAGCCGGAGGCAGCGCAGCAGAGUCAGAGCCGGAGCCCACAACCCAGAGGGCCAGGGCGGGGCGGGCGCUCAGGGCCUGCCCUUGGGGGCGGGACGGCCCCCGGCCUCACCUCCUCCGGAUUCUCGUCGGUCCUGUCCCGCCCCCGCCGCCCUCGGCCUGUCCUUGCAGUCCUGCGUGCGGCCUGGGCGCUGGGGCCGCCCUCGGCUCUGCGGGACGGCGCUACCCUCCCCGUGCAUCGGUGCGGCGCCGUCUGCCGGGCUGUCAGUCUGUCCCGCGCCGUCGGUCCGUGCAGGCCCGCUCCUCCCUGUGGGCCCUCGGCCCUGCGCACCCUCCUCCGCUCGGGCGCCGGCCCCCCCGGGGCCUCUCCGGCCACCGAUCCCGCCAGGGCCCCUGGCGGGACGCGCCUCCGCGGCAGGGACCUGGCUGUGUCCCCUUCCCGGGCCGGCUGAGAACCGCAUUGGCAUUUGUAGAUGGAAGGAAUGACGGAAGGCCCGAGGGCCGGUGGCCACAAAUUCAUUAACACGGAAGAGUGGGCUGAUGGAUAUUUCUUCAUGGACAUUUGGGUUGUUUCUAGUUUUUGCCUGCUGCGAAUAAAGCUCCUAUAAACAUUCCUGGGCCUGGAUCCAGCUGCCCCCCCAGAUCCAGAUCCCAGCCCAGCUGUAGCCUCCAUCGUGGCUGAGGGAGGGUCCCUUGGGUCUGGCGCCUACUUCAGCAGGAAAGCCCGUCUCUCCUUCCGCCACCAGCUGCAUGACAU